GAACUCUAACAUAUAUGCGAGUGUUCUUGGGUCGGAUAAGGGUCUUGGGAAUGUGGCCGGUUCGCCGGUGUUGAGCCCUGGACUUGAUACGGCUCUGGGGACAGAGGACCGCAGCGCGCCUUCUUGGCAUUGGCUUCGGCCUUUUCCGCGCUAAGGAUUCUGGCUUAAUGGCUUUAAGCGACCCGUCUUGAAACACGGACCAAGGAGUCUAACAUAUAUG
rnacentral:rRNA from 1 species